AUUGAACGCUGGCGGCAGGCCUAACACAUGCAAGUCGAGCGGAUGAACGGAGCUUGCUCCUGGAUCCAGCGGCGGACGGGUGAGUAAUGCCUAGGAAACUUCCUCGUAGUGUGGGAUAACGCCCGGAAACGGGCGCUAAUACCUCAUACGUCCUGAGUGAGAAAGUGGGGGAUCUUAGGACCUCUCGCUAUCAGAUGAGCCUAGGUCGGAUUAGCUAGUUGGUGGGGUAAUGGCCUACCAAGGCGACGAUCCGUAACUGGCCUGAGAGGAUGAUCAGUCACACUGAGACUGAGCCACGGCCCAGACUCCUAGGGGAGGCAGAGGUGGGGAAUAUUGGACGAUGGGCGGAAGACUGAUCCAGCCAUGCCGCGUGUGUGAAGAAGGUCUUCGGAUUGUAAAGCGCUUUACGUGGGGAGGAAGGGUAGUACGUUAAUACCUUCCUGUUGUGACGUUACCAAGAGAAUAAGCACCGGCUAACUUCGUG
rnacentral:rRNA from 1 species